UAGUGGCGAACGGGUGAGUAACACGUGGGCAAUCUGCCCUUCACUCUGGGACAAGCCCUGGAAACGGGGUCUAAUACCGGAUACCACUCCUGCCUGCAUGGGCGGGGGUUGAAAGCUCCGGCGGUGAAGGAUGAGCCCGCGGCCUAUCAGCUUGUUGGUGGGGUAAUGGCCCACCAAGGCGACGACGGGUAGCCGGCCUGAGAGGGCGACCGGCCACACUGGGACUGAGACACGGCCCAGACUCCUACGGGAGGCAGCAGUGGGGAAUAUUGCACAAUGGGCGAAAGCCUGAUGCAGCGACGCCGCGUGAGGGAUGACGGCCUUCGGGUUGUAAACCUCUUUCAGCAGGGAAGAAGCGAAAGUGACGGUACCUGCAGAAGAAGCGCCGGCUAACUACGUGCCAGCAGCCGCGGUAAUACGUAGGGCGCAAGCGUUGUCCGGAAUUAUUGGGCGUAAAGAGCUCGUAGGCGGCUUGUCACGUCGGAUGUGAAAGCCCGAGGCUUAACCUCGGGUCUGCAUUCGAUACGGGCUAGCUAGAGUGUGGUAGGGGAGA
rnacentral:rRNA from 1 species